UACGUAGGGUGCGAGCGUUGUCCGGAAUUAUUGGGCGUAAAGAGCUUGUAGGCGGUUUGUCGCGUCUGCUGUGAAAAUCCGGGGCUCAACCCCGGACUUGCAGUGGGUACGGGCAGACUGGAGUGUGGUAGGGGAGACUGGAAUUCCUGGUGUAGCGGUGGAAUGCGCAGAUAUCAGGAGGAACACCGGUGGCGAAGGCGGAUCUCUGGGCCUUACCUGACGCUGAGGCGCGAAAGCGUGGGGAGCGAACAGG
rnacentral:rRNA from 1 species